CAAGGAAAAGACUGUAUGAAGAAGCAUUUAAACAGAGGAAACCAACCACUAAAGCAACAUGCAUCCCUUCCAGGACGCUACCUAACAGAGGUACUUCUUGUGGCAGGCCACAUUGAGGAAGGGGUAAAGGCAUUAGAGGUAGAAGAGGAAAAGGACGAGGUGGUAGAAAGAAGGGCACUUACAUCCAAAGUAGCAGUACUGAGAGUAGUGAAAGUGAGAAUGAUAAGAUCAAUAUAAGCAGUCAUGACAGUGACCAGAGUCCUGUUAA